ensembl:lncRNA
CAUCUAUAUUUAAUGUAUUAUAUUUUGAUAAAAACUGUCAAACAGUUUCUGAACCUUUCAGGUUAUUAAGGGUCUCGGAAAAAUAAUUUACUGACUCUCCAUUACUUCAACAUGUAACAAUUCACUAAAAACUCAAGCACGUUUUCCUUUGGAGAGCAACUUGUGUGUACAGCAGAUUGUAGACAAGGGCGCUGGAACAGAUGUUCACGAAAAGCCGAUUGUAUUCCUUCUGAUGGUUGGACGGCUGAAGUGGAGGUAGGCAGUGGAACAGAUGAAAGAGAAGCAGGAGAAUAAGAGUGUAUAACUCGCUCUCAUCGCCUGCAGUGAGGCAGAGGCUGGAGAGACAUGCAGAUGGGCGCAUCCUCAGGUAAUCCACCCGUUUAUGAGGAGAUUGAUGGAUCUGAGGCAAACGCAACUGACGCAAAGCUCACAUCUAUCUUGGUUUAAGGAUGUGGUCCGCCGAAAGGCUGGGAGGAGGAAUUACAUGCACAAGCACUAUGGCCCCUCAUAAAUCACUGCCACCCAGAGAAAAUGUCACAUUCCAGCGCUUGGUGGGAAUUGGGAAGAGGAAACAGGAAGGAGAGCCGAUGACAACAUCUGGUUGUGAUUUCAGAGAUGCGGGCAUGCUUGGGACUUUUCCAGACCAAAGUAAUCAUAUUUUUGUCAGCACGGCUAUCUCUUACCUGCUGCAGAGUGUGAAUGAAUAAUUGAAAUCCUGACCUUGCAGCAGAAGCUGUCACAAAGGUGUCCAGCGGUCGGCCCUGUAGUGAGGGCUUGCUGCGGGUGGCAUGUGUGUGUGGGUGUAACCGGCUUGCUACCAUGACAACAGAGGCCCAGGAGACCCUGCCCAUGCCACAGCAUGAUUGGCCGGUUUAUGAAGUGGCAUCUGCCGUCCAGGGGGCCAUAUGGACGAACUGACAUUUAGCGACACUCUCCGUGCUAUACAGGACCGUGUGGCUGAGAGAAAGAGAGGACUUGCGCUGUAACCUUUACACACACGGUCACACACAAGCAAGCCUUAGUCCUAAAGCCCUGCUGUGACCCGCACAGGCCCAUGCUGGUGCUAUGACACAUGUGCUUCAAACAGAAGAACAGGCAUUAGAUCAGAAAGGCAGGCCGCAUGUAUUAAAGAAUCGGCCCCUCACAGAUUUUCUAACACACAUCACUGAGGACGCAGGGAAAAUCUCUGCAGAUGGGAGCCUCUCUUUCACCCUGGUGUGAGCUCAGCUGUGUGUCGCGCUGACAUCACCCUGUCCCACACGAACUGAUGUCAGAUUCCAUGCUGAAGUUUCCUCAUCUCUCUGGGACGGCAGUCGAGCCGCUGGAGACCGCUAAUGGCAGAUCUCCAGUUUCAAAUUCAUGUCUUUCACAACAUAACAAAGUCUGGGAAAAUUGAUCUGUUCUUGGGAGGAUUAACUUCAUGAACUCAUCUGAUUAGAAGCAAUUUGGGGUUUACCAUGUCAAGUUAGCAAUUCAGAGAUUUUGAGUAAUAUUUCCACUGUAAUAACAGCCUUUAAAAGUGAAGUGUAAUUUCUGCACAGCCAAUGUUGCCAAAUGCAAUUGCAAAAAAAUCAUAGCUUGCUACUUAUGUCAUCAUGUCAAGUUAGUGAUUCAGAAAUUUAAAGUUACAUUUUCACUGUAAUAUCAACCUUUCAAAGUGAAGCGUAAUUUUUACACCAAUGUUACCAAAUGCAACAGCAAAAAUUGCUACUUACUGAAUACUGUGAAAUCUGAGAAUCACUUCUGAACGCGAGCAAGCUGUCAAUAUUAUUAGCUCUCUCUAUACUGUAUACACACCUUAUGAAGAGGGUUUUAUUUGUUUUUGUUUUUUCUCUGUGUAGAUUGUGUGUGUGUGUGUGUGUGUGUGUGUGUGUGUGUGUGUGUUUGUGUUUGUGUAUGCGUGUGUGUGUGAUAUCGACCAGCAGGGGAAACAAGGUCAUGCUAACCAGCCAAAACUUGACCCCUUGGUUUUUUGUUCAUCAUUUUGAAAACUAAAACCAUGUCUUCUGACAUUUCAUUAUUUGGUCACUUCAUAAUGUGGUCCAACUGACUGUUGUUAAGCCAAAUUUUGAAUGGCUCACUUAAACUGGUAUAGGAGAAAGUCUUUUAACAUCAAACAUGUAAAUACAUUGGGAUUUAUUCAUCAGACAUGAGGAGGUUGAAUUGUACAUAUCAUUUAUAAAUCAAUUUAUACAUAAAUUAUCACAUUAAGU